rnacentral:lncRNA from 1 species
AAACCCCACCCAGCCAGCCCCUAGCGCAGACGGCGAAGAGCGGUGAAGAGCUCGCCUUGGCUCUUGCUCAGCCUUGGCUGCAGCUCCUCCCGAGACCGGGGCGCCCGCAGGAGAACCUCUUCCCUGGAUCGCUCUUCAGGGAUGACGUCACCCCAGUCUUCAAGGACCACCUUCUAUGGAUGCCAAGUGCGCAAGUGCCUGUGGCGCAGUAUCUGCUCCGCACCUCUACCUCCUGGUACCACAGCCACUCCACAUCACAUGGCCAUUGGACUCCCCCCACCCAUUUCCCACUUAUCAUCGCCAGACACAUUAGCCAUUAGAGACAAUUAAGAGUGCUAAAGCCAAGGAGCAUGGAUUUCUGGAACCCACCAGCAUUCAAAGCAAGCUCUUCUGGACCCCCGAGGAUCAGGACAUCGAGGGACAAGGAAUAAAGAGGACCAGCAGUGUCCAGCUAGCCUCCGUCUGGGUUCAAACUUGAGCCAUUGCCCUAGUGAGGGGGCAAUGGUCACGACCCUUGACCUUUGCUCUGCUUGUGCCUUGAGUCUGAGCCCUUCCCUAUAUGUCUUUGCUUGUGUUCAUCUGCCAGUGAACUGGACUGCUUCCCUCCCCAAGGGGGGGGUCAUCCCUUGUGACUGACCAUGUUGUCCUAACGAUGUCCUGAGCAGAAGGAUCCCUUUGGGAACCUCUCAGGAGGGGUACCUGGGCCAGGGGCAACCAGCAUCUUGCUGGCAACUCUGUGGGUUGGGUGGGGUGCUUCUGGAAUGAGCAUGCGGCUGACCCCCAAUGGCAUGCCUCCCCCCCUCCACCCACCUCUUUGGAGAUGUCCCUUCCUUUUGGGGUAGUGGGGACAUUAGGAGCAACCCCCUAGGGUUGUUGUGAGAAUUAAAUGAACUCAAGCAGCCUGAGGCAGGGCUGGGCAGAAACCUCAGCACAUGUUUGUUGAAAAGUUUGCAGGUGGAUCUGUUCCCACCCACUCAUUUGUCUCACCUGUCUCAUCUAUUCUGCAGACUCCUGCAGCCCCUGUGCACAGGGCCCUCCUUGCAGCAGGCCUGUCGCGUCUUCCUGUGCCAUUUCCUGUUGUGCUCAGGUUCUACGAGCCGCCCAUCUCCACAGAGGAGCAGCUGGCAUUGCCCACCGGCCAUGCUGAAGAACAGAAGAUUGAGGACCCCAGGACGCCCAGCGUGAGGACCCCGGGAGGACCCCACGAGGACCCCACGAGGACUCCAUGA